GUCGACCUUCGGGUCAUAUGACUGAGUGGCGAACGGGUGAGUAACACGUGAGAAACCUGCCCCGAAGACUGGAAUAACCCGAGGAAACUCGGGCUAAUACCGGAUGUCCCCAGAUGGCCGCAUGGCCGACUGAGGAAAUGCUCCGGCGCUUUGGGAGGGUCUCGCGGCCUAUCAGCUUGUUGGUGAGGUAACGGCUCACCAAGGCUUCGACGGGUAGCUGGUCUGAGAGGACGAUCAGCCACACUGGGACUGAGAUACGGCCCAGACUCCUACGGGAGGCAGCAGUAGGGAAUCUUGCGCAAUGGGCGAAAGCCUGACGCAGCCACGCCGCGUGAGUGAUGAAGGCCUUCGGGUCGUAAAGCUCUUUCAGCAGGGACGAAAAUGACGGUACCUGCAGAAGAAGCCCCGGCCAACUACGUGCCAGCAGCCGCGGUAACACG
rnacentral:rRNA from 1 species